AUUGAACGCUGGCGGCAUGCCUUACACAUGCAAGUCGGGCGAGCGGCGUACGGGUGAUAUAUGUACGGGGAUCUGCCCGAUGGAUGAGGAUAACUACUGGAAACGAUAGCUAAUACCGCAUACCAUGCGAGGAAUCCAUAUGGGAGUAGCUUGUGGGUGGGGUAACGGCUGACCUAGGCGACGAUCCCUAGCUGGUCUGAGAGGAUGAUCAGCCACACUGGGACUGAGACACGGCCCAGACUCCUACGUGAGGCAGCAGUGGGGAAUAUUGCACAAUGGGCGAAAGCCUGAUGCAGCCAUGCCGCGUGUAUGAAGAAGGCCUUCGGGUUGUAAAGUACUUUCAGUCGGGAGGCGUUACCGACAGAAGAAGCACCGGCUAACUCCGUGCCAGCAGCCGCGGUAAUUC
rnacentral:rRNA from 1 species